rnacentral:lncRNA from 10 species
CCCUGCCAGGUGCUCUGUACUCCGCAAGCUCUCGAGACUCCGUGACCUAUCAUGCCUGGGCGAGCUUUUUGAAGUGGCACAACUACAAGACAGGAACUAAGAAGAAGUAACUGAAUGCCUACUCUAGGCCAGGUCCUUGCUAGGACUGAACAUGUGUUUGUCGAGGGUGGCUAAGUCUCAGCUGAGGCCGACCAGCACCACCAGACGUCAUCCCGUUGUGACUUCUACCUCCACACCAGAUGGCUUCUUCCCACACCAGUCAAACCAGGGUCUCCCUGAUCUCUGGCAAUGGCCCGGCCAUGCUAAGCAGAAGGAAAAGGACUGGCAAUGUGUGUUUGGGUCCCUGCUGCAGGAACUAGAGGCUGGGAGGAAAGUUUGGGCAGGCAAAUCUGGAUGCAUCCUUGGACAUAUUCCAUUAAGAGCGGUGCCACUCAACCUAUGGCGGUAAGCUGUGAUCCCAGACCAAGAGGCAUUACUGAGUAUGUGGCAACACAGAGUAUUGGAUAAAUGGUGUGUAAUAUAAUAUGAUGGACUCUUAAAACUUCCCUCAUCCUCAAGCUCUUUUUCAGUCUCCAACAAGCCCAGAGAGCCUGAAAUUGCACCAUUAGCACUUUACAGCAAGUUAUUAUUUGCCAUUGACACCACAGUGUGAAUUAGUUGAUUAGCUUGCUGGAGUACCAGGAGUGAUGGGGGUGGGGGAGAUCAUUUCAGAGCCUGGAAGGAUAGAUCUGGGCCUGACUCAGGUGCAGAGGAAGAGUGCCAGGCCCCCAAGGAGCUGGCACAGGGGGACUGCACCUUCCAGAGCACUGGACUGAGAAACAGAAAACCCACAUUCAAGUUCUGCCAUUGUCACUGACGAAGUUGUAUGCCCACAGUCAGGUCAUGCCCCCUUUCUGAGCCUCAGUGUCCUCAUCUGUGCAGUAGGUAGAGUGUGCUCUGGAUGGGGACAAGGAAGGUAGAGUGGUCUCUAAGUGUUAUCUUAAGGAGAACAUUCAAAGAUUUUAAUGUCCCAGCAAAGCUCUCAGCUGGGCCCAGCCCAGGGUCUCCCUAUGGUCUUGAGAAAGUGGAGGAAACAAGGUCUUGGGGGUAGAAAUUCUGGGCCAUAGGAGUGGGGAGUAGGGGGUUCCUGCUUUGUGGGAGACCCAAUUCCUGGUCUACACAGACUCAGAAAGGUAGAUAAAGAGAGGAGGAAAGAAGAGGGAGUGAGAGGGCUAACUCCAGCCUAUCCCCCUCACUGCAUUCGCUUUUAAAAUAAAACCCAUUUAUAUAUAAAUGUUGGCCUGAUGCCCAGUCUCUGUAGAAAAGCUUUUCUGUAUUAAACGCUACAAUGAAUUAAAUUAACC